UUGAGCGGCGUGGCGCUGCCCAGGCUUCUGCGCAGUUUCCUUUUCUCCGGGUUUGGUGCAUUGUCCGUCAGGUCAGCUCCAAGUUCAAGGUGAAGAAAAUGACUCAUUCCUAAAGAAAGGAAGUGACUUGUAUUCAUCAGAGGAAAGGUUCUUUCUAAGGAGACAAGAGAGCUGAGGUAGAGAGAGGUCUUAUGAACAUUACUGACCAAUGAGUCUGCUUGAAGACAUCCAGUGACAGGAAAGGUUCUGACUCCUGAGGCAAUAACUUUAUGGAUUCCUCUAGAGGGGCAAGAGUUUGGAUUAAAAGAACAGGAGCAACUGGAGCCUUCUCAAAAAGACUACACAAGGAAAUAAUGCUGAGGAACUACACGAACCUGGUAUCAUUAGGCACUACCUGCUGGAUUUCUGGAGGAGCAAAGGGAUCAGAGUUUGUUGGCCCUGUUGUCUUUUCACUGCUUUCCAGCCUGGGCACCAAUUAGUAGACUGUAGAUUCUCUGCCUGAAUUUGAAUGGAUUUGGUUCCUUCCUAAGGAGGCAGAUUUGAACCCUAGAAUAAAGAUCCCCGAUGAGGAGACGUUGUCCAUGAACAAGGAGAUGGCCACCUCUAGGAGUACUCAUGGUCCACAUUUACAAGAUCAAGAUGAGGUUCUGAGAAUGACUUUUUCUGAGGAACAUGAAACUCUUCUAAAAAGAAACACAUUUGAUGCUACAGUCUCUCAUCGUAACUUCAGACACUUUCAAUAUGCAGAAGCAGAUGGACCCCAUAAAGCCCUAAGCCAACUUCGAGAGCUCUGCCAUCAGUGGCUGAGGCCAGAUAUUCACACCAAGGAGCAGAUUCUGGAAAUGCUGGUAUUAGAACAGUUUUGGGCAGUCUUGCCUGGAGAGAUCAGGACUUGGGUAAAGUCACAUCAUCCAAAGAAUGGGGAAGAGGUGGUGAACCUGAUAGAGGAUUUGACCCAAAUGCUUAAGGAGGAAGUUCUGCCUUCUCAGGACUCUGUCCUUCCCCAUGAAGAGGAGAGAAUAGGCCCUGAAUUCAUGACAGUCAAUUCCCAGAAAUCAAUGGAAUUCAAGGAUGUAGCUGUGGAUUUCACCUUGGAGGAAUGGGAACAACUACACUUUGCUCAGAGGGAACUGUAUAAGGAUGUCAUGCUGGAGAACUAUAGGAACCUAGUCUUCCUAGGGCUGUCAGUUUCCAAACCAGAUGUCAUCACCCAGUUGGAACAAUUGCAAGCACCAGUGAUGCUGGAUAAAGAAGUCUUAAGAUGUACCUCUCCAGAUAGGGAGACUGCUUCAGAAAUCAGAGAAUUAAUUCGAAAGCAAGACAUUGCUUUGAAAGAGUCAGCUCAAGAAAAACUCACAAGGGAUGGUUCCUGGGUCUGUAAUUUGGAAACACCUACAAAGUGUGAAAUCAAGUUAGAGAAACAAGACAACCAAAAGAAACAUUGCCAGCAAAUAACAAUUGGCAACAAGAAAACUUUUAAAAAGGUGAGCAGCUAUGAAUGUAAGAAAUUUGGGAGAAACUUAAGUUUGGGACAAAUCCUUGCUCCCCAAGAGAGAAUUUCUUCAGGAAAAAGUCUCCAUAAAUGUGAUACACACUUAAGAAACUUCAAACAGUAUUCUGUGCUCAAACCAACUAAAUGUAAUCAAGUCCCUACAUCGGGGAAAAAACCUUGUAAGUUUAAUGAAUUUAAGAAAAUGUUUAUUCCCCAUUCAGACUUUAGUGAAUAUCAUAAAAAAACCUCUGGAGAGCUACCAUACAAAUGUGACAGAUGUGGGAAAGUCUUCCACUGGAAGAGACAUCUUGUUCAACAUCAAAAAAUUCAUACUGGAAUAAAAACCUAUGAAUGUACUGAAUGUGGGAAAACUUUUAGGCACAGCUCAUCUCUUCCUGCUCAUCAAAGAAUUCAUACUGGAGAGAAGCCCUAUAAAUGUAAUGAAUGUGGAAAAGCCUUCAACUAUAGUUCAUCAUUUUUUGAACAUCAAAGAAUCCAUACUGGAACAAAACCUUAUGCAUGUAACGUGUGUGGGAAAGCCUUUAACCACAGCUCAUCACUUACUGAACACCAGAGAAUUCAUACUGGAGAGAAACCCUAUGAAUGUAAUGAAUGUGGGAAAUCCUUCAGCCAGAUGGGACAUCUUACUAAACAUCAUAGAAUCCAUACUGGAGAAAAACCCUACACAUGUAAUGAAUGUGGGAAAUCCUUCAGUUGGAGUGCAGACCUUACUCAGCAUCAGAGAAUUCAUACUGGAGAGAAACCCUAUGAAUGUAAUGAAUGUGGGAAGGCCUUCAGGUGGAAUACAUACCUUACUCAACAUCAGAGAAUCCAUACUGGAGAGAAACCCUAUGCAUGCAAUGAAUGUGGAAAAGCCUUUAGGCAAAAGGGUCACCUCACUCAACAUCAGAGGAUCCAUACUGGAGAAAAACCCUAUCAGUGUAAUGAAUGUGGGAAAGCCUUCAGUGUUAGUUCAUCUCUUAUAAAGCAUCAGAAAGUUCAUUCUGGAGAGAAACCUCAUAAAUGAAAUUAAUAUGGAAAAUCUUUCAAGUGUAGUUCAGUUUUUCUUCACCUAUUAGAGAACCAUGGAAAUGUCAUAAUUGGGUAAAGCUUUAGUCAGACUUGGCACUUAUUAAAUACUUGAGAGUUAAGAUAUCAGUUCAGCAUCUGAGACUUUGGAAAAGUUUCCCUUUCCCUUUUUCUGGAAAUGAAGAAUAAGAGGUAAACCCUAGAAAAAUGACAUGAUCUGAGGUGUGUGGCUACAAGAUAAAAGGGAAAAUGAAUACAUGCCACAACAAGCCAUCCAUUGGUGGUGUCUGGGACAGAAAAAGGGAUAAGAGGGAAUUAGCAAUGGAGAAUCAUCUCUGAAUCCAAGGACCUGGAAGUCCAGGAUGUUCAGUGAUUUGGACUGGGGUUCAGUAACUAGGAACCUUUAAAACAAAACUACAGCUCAAGACUCUGAGUGCAAAGGCAAAGAUUCUUGGAUUUAAAAUUUGGAUGAAUAAAAACCCACCCAAAGAUGGGUUCUAAGGAGGAGUUCACAUUCUAGGAAGUCAACUUGAUUCAUUGAGGUUCAAAGGUACACAGCAGGAUCUUUUAGGGGUAUGAACCUGCAAAAGAUAGAAGAUAUUUUUGUUGCCAUCUUCCAUUUUAUGGAAAUAAGCUAGUUCUCUUGGAACUGUGAAGUAUCUCAAAUUGUCUCUUAUGUUUUAUCCCAGAACUUUGCCUUUAAUAUAGAUAUGACAGUAGAUGUUGAAAGUGGAUCACAUAUGGCUAACUUUGCAAUAGGAAGUAUGGCAAGAUGGUCAAGUUUGGCCCACAUCCUCUUCCCAAGGCAGUGGUGGUGGAUUAAAAUGGUCUAGCAAAAGUUAAGUGACAUAUAUUCUUGGCCACUAAUGUCCUCUUCCUAAAGCCCCACUCCAUAGACCAAAUUUAUAUCUUGUUGCCCUUAUCAAAAAUACCAUCCUCUUACUCCACUUUAGUGUGGAUUAAUCCAAUAAGGUGACUUUUCCUAAUGUUAUAGAAUCCCAGUUGGAAAAAUUCUUUCGAUUUAUCUACUUCAACUCUAUAUCUGAUGCAUAAAUCCCUUGUACAUCUCCAAAAACUUGUCCCGCCUUUAACUGAACACCCUGGGGAUGUGACGUAUACCAUUCUGAUAGUUAUGAAAUUGUUAGAAGUUACUACACUGUCAUUUCUACCCAUUGAUCCUAUUUCUCUACUAUCUUCACUCCCUUGCCCCCAUGAAGAACAAUUCUAAUCUUUUCCAUGUGAUACUCACAACUUUUGCAAAUAAUCAUUAUGAAUACCCUAAAUCUGAGGCAGCUAGGUGGUGCUAUAGAUAUAAUACUGGGCCUGGAGUUAGGAAAAACCUGAGUUCAAAUCCAGCC